AGUGAACGCUGGCGGCAUGCCUAACACAUGCAAGUCGAACGAAGGCUUCGGCCUUAGUGGCGCACGGGUGCGUAACGCGUGGGAAUCUGCCCUCAGGUUCGGAAUAACAGCGAGAAAUUGCUGCUAAUACCGGAUGAUAUCGCGAGAUCAAAGAUUUAUCGCCUGAGGAUGAGCCCGCGUAGGAUUAGCUAGUUGGUGUGGUAAAGGUGCACCAAGGCGACGAUCCUUAGCUGGUCUGAGAGGAUGAUCAGCCACACUGGGACUGAGACACGGCCCAGACUCCUACGGGAGGCAGCAGUGGGGAAUAUUGGACAAUGGGCGAAAGCCUGAUCCAGCAAUGCCGCGUGAGUGAUGAAGGCCUUAGGGUUGUAAAGCUCUUUUACCCGGGAUGAUAAUGACGGUACCGGGAGAAUAAGCUCCGGCUAACUCCGUGCCAGCAGCCGCGGUAA
rnacentral:rRNA from 1 species